CGGAGAACAGCCACCGAUUCACAAACCAUGAAGAUGAGCAUUUUAGCCUUUCGCUUCUGCUAAGCAAAUGUUUUAAAUCCAUUCAUCAUUGUUUAUGAGAUACACAAAUCAUGGAGCACAGAAUGCAGUGACAGUAUGGCGUCAGAUAUGUAUUGAUCUAGCUUAGGUUUUCAAAUGUAAAUAAUUCAGAAGUAUAUUUAUGUGUGUAGUAGUAAUUAUCACAGUGACAAGUUUUUUCAUAAAUUAUGAGAUUUAUAAAAGUUAUCGAAAUGUGAAAUCUUUCUCCCUAUACAAUGAAAAUACAUGUUGAUCAUUGGCUUUCAAGUUCAGUUCGCUUUGCUUGGCUUAUUACAACCCUGGUUCCUUUGCAUACUUAACUAAAAUUACACUGCUAGGUCCCUGGUGCCCCCUCAAACCAUUAAGAGCAUGACGCCUCUGUCCGUUCCAGUGGGAGGUUAGUGUGAAGACUGAGCAUUCAGAGCAGAUUGUGAAAUUCUGUGGUCUCCCUUUCAAGAAAGCUUUUAUGGAAAGCAGAACCUCUGAUAGAAGAAAGAGAAAAACAGAAAACAGACUAUGUUUUACCCUCCGUGUUUCAAAAGGAUAUGCAUUUUUAGUGCUCUAUAUUUCCAUUUCCUCUUUGUCACUGAGUACACAACAACAAAGACAAUGAGUUAGAAAUAUUUCAUUCAAGAUAAAAGACAUUCUGUUCACAGGAACAGUUCAUGUUUAUAAACAGUCAUUUCAGAAUGGUGGCAAGCAAUGAAGGUGAUGGUUACGUCCAUUUUAAAUAAGAACAAUUCGUAUCAAAGUGAAUCUCUGAAGUGUUUGACCAACGGAAGUAGGAUUUUUUUUUCUUCUUUUGACUUGUGAUCUAGAUUGUGGGUGGGUGUAUGGCCAGGAAGUUCAUCAUUCGAGUGCAGAUGUGUCGAACACACUGAGCCCAACAACAUGUUUUUAAAAUGGACUACAAACUGUCUUUUAUUUUUGACUUUAAUUUAUCUUCCACACACAGGAGGAUGGAAUGUUUCCUCAGUAAUCAUCGGAGAAACUGUGCAUCUGUCCUGCCACUCACCCCCUAAACACACUUAUUCUUUUGAAAUAGAGUGGACAAAAAAUGGAACAAAUAGUAACACUACUUGUAAAUGGAGGAUAAAUAAAGGUAUUAUAUCUUCCUUAAAUACAUGCGAUCCUCGUUUUACAUUCACCAAAGAGCCUUUCGAAAUUAAUAUAAAAGACGUUCAGCCCAGUGACUCUGGUAUUCACAGCUGUAAAAUGACAAUAAUAGUUCCACCACCAUCACUGGUCUACUUCACAAAUAUGACACUCGAAGUUGUAGUCGGUCCUCAUCUGUCAUUGCAGAAACUGAACAGCAGUAAUGACACCUGUGUCCUUCUGCUCUGCUCUGUGGAGGAUCUGAAGCCUGAGCAGGUGAACUUCACCUGGAGCCGGGGUGAAAGGUCACUUCAUCAAUUCACAUCUUAUGCCAUGAACAGCGAGCUGCGUCUGUGUAAACCUGACUGGAGUGAAGGAGACACAAUCACCUGUUACGCCAAAUACUCAAGCACACAAACCCAAAAAAGUAUACAACUCACCUCAGAGACAACUUCUGACAUAGUUGUUAACGGUGUGCUGUUCCAGCUGCUGACCAUCUCAUGCAGUGCUGCUGCAGGCCUCAUCCUCUGCAUCAUCCUCACAGUAGUUAUUUGCAAAUGCAGAAAGCGAGACGAACAUGGAUCUUUAAUGUUCAACAAUAAAGUCUAUGAGAACUUCAGUUUCGCCAUGUUCCGUCAGAACUCACAGUCCAAUGACAAACCACAGCCAGAAGAGAGUAUUUAUGAGAACUAGAUGCUGCUGCUGCUGCUUAUAUAACCUUUGCUUUAAAGCCAGAUCUGCCCAGUUGUUAUGAAAGCAGUAUGAUAGGCAAAAGUGUGUUAAGUGGUUUUGCUAAGAUGGUGCACUUGGAAUAUGAAGCAAACGGUCACUGCAUUGUUUACAAUCCAUAUUUUUUCAAGUAACUCUUUUCAUUGUGUUUGAGCACUUUAGGUGCACUGAACUAUUAUGUCUGUUAAAUUAAUUUAAUUUAACUAUGAUAAUGAGCAGGGGUCUCAUAUCCAUUUCUCAGAUACAAUGCAAAGGCAUUAUUAUUUUUGUUGUAAGAGUUUUGUUUUUGAUAUGGUAUUUAGACUGACUAUAUUGCAAUAUUACAUUACUUGUAAAUAAGUAAUACAUUAGAAGUCUUUUCAAAGCCUCUUUUCGCACUAUUUCACUUUCUUUAUACUCUGAUCAAAUUUGGGUUGCAAUGAAAAAUGCCAAAAUCAUUUUAGUUCACAUAGUUUGAGCAAAGUUAUCUUCUAUUCUAAGUACAUGCCUAUGGUUUAUUUAAUAAAAAUGUUUAUAUUUAGAAACUUUGGUCUCUU
ensembl:lncRNA